UACGUAGGGGGCUAGCGUUGUCCGGAAUCAUUGGGCGUAAAGAGCGCGUAGGCGGUCCGGUAAGUCGGUUGUGAAAGUCAAGGGCUCAACCCUUGGAUGCCGGUGGAUACUGCAGGGCUAGAGUCCGGAAGAGGCGAGUGGAAUUCCUGGUGUAGCGGUGAAAUGCGCAGAUAUCAGGAGGAACACCGAUGGCGAAGGCAGCUCGCUGGGACGGUACUGACGCUGAGGCGCGAAAGCGCGGGGAGCAACAGG
rnacentral:rRNA from 1 species